rnacentral:hammerhead_ribozyme from 1 species
GUACUGCUGACGAGUCCCAAACUAGGACGAAAUGCUUUUCGAGUAC